rnacentral:rRNA from 1 species
UACGUAGGGUGCAAGCGUUAAUCGGAAUUACUGGGCGUAAAGCGCACGUAGGCGGAUCUUUAAGUCAGGGGUGAAAUCCUGGAGCUCAACUCCAGAACUGCCUUUGAUACUGGGGAUCUCGAGUCCGGGAGAGGUGAGUGGAACUGCGAGUGUAGAGGUGAAAUUCGUAGAUAUUCGCAAGAACACCAGUGGCGAAGGCGGCUUACUGGUCCGGUUCUGACGCUGAGGCGCGAAAGCGUGGGGAGCAAACAGG